UGCGGGUCCAGGCCUGACGGGGGCAGUUCUGGCGCACUGUGAGCUGUGACCAGCCCGAGCUGAGAUGUCGGGAGCCCAGGGGAGGGGGCACUUACCACAGAGGCGCUGUUCUUAACAUCAAUGUUAUUUUCUCAGAGCCUGCUGAGCGGGGCCCUUUGCCCCGGGGCCCUGGCUCUGAGUUCGGGCUCCACCUCCCAGGCCCCUUCCACCACCCACGUGGCUGGCUGAGCGCCCAUCCACCUGCCCUGUGCCGCGGGCGGGGGGCUUUCAGGAGGCCCGGCUGUGCCCCAACAAUGCUGCUUUGUGCCAAGAGGGACCCAGAGCCUUGUAAAGGAGGAGCCCCUGCCACCAUCUCCCCAGUUUUGGAGGCACUUCGGGGGAGCAGGAGGUGAGAGGGGGCUUGUAUUGAUGAGGGCUCUAGGAUAGGAAGGGCAGCCAAGCCCUGCUGGGGUGGGCAGGGGUGGGGGCUGAAGCCUGUGCACCCCACCCCCAGCACCGCAGUGAGUCCCUGGCAGUUGGGAAGGAGCAGACCUGCCGUCCCUAAGAGCAGCU
rnacentral:lncRNA from 1 species